AAUGAACGCUAGCGGCAGGCCUAAUACAUGCAGGUCGAGGGGCAGCGGGAGUAGCAAUACUUGCCGGCGACCGGCGCACGGGUGCGUAACACGUAUGUAAUCUACCCUUUACUGGAGAAUAGCCCGAAGAAAUUCGGAUUAAUGCUCCAUAAUAUCACUGGAAGGCAUCUUUUGGUGAUUAAAGUUCCGACGGUAAAGGAUGAGCAUGCGCGAUAUUAGCGAGUUGGUGAGGUAACGGCUCACCAAGGCGACGAUAUCUAGGGGUACUGAGAGGUUACACCCCCACACUGGUACUGAGACACGGACCAGACUCCUACGGGAGGCAGCAGUAAGGAAUAUUGGAAAAUGGUCGCAAGACUGAUCCAGCCAUGCCGCGUGCAGGAUGAAUGCCCUAUGGGUUGUAAACUGCUUUUAUACGGGAAUAAACCCGGGUACGUGUACCCGGCUGAAUGUACCGUAAGAAUAAGGGUCGGCUAACUUCGUGCCAGCAGCCGCAGUAAGAC
rnacentral:rRNA from 1 species